rnacentral:tRNA from 1 species
UGAGAUAUGGUGUAAUGGCAGCACUACUGAUUUUGGUUCAGUCAGCCCAGGUUCGAGUCCUGGUAUCUCAA